rnacentral:rRNA from 1 species
UGUGUAGGUGGUUGGAUAAGUUAGAUGUGAAAUCCCUGGGCUUAACCUGGGAACUGCGUUUAAAACUGUUCAGCUAGAGUACUGUAGAGGAUAGUGGAAUUUCCAGUGUAGCGGUGAAAUGCGUAGAUAUUGGAAGGAACACCAGUGGCGAAGGCGACUAUCUGGACAGAUACUGACACUGAGACACGAAAGCGUGGGGAGCAAACA